CAAUAGCGUAUAUUUAAGUUGCUGCAGUUAAAAAGCUCGUAGUUGGAUUUCGGGUGGGAAUGGCCGGUCCGCCGUUUCGGUGUGCACUUGCUACGCCCACCUUGCUGCCGGGGACGUGCUCUUGAGUUCACGCUCGGGACACGGAGUCGGCGAGGUUACUUUGAGUAAAUUAGAGUGUUCAAAGCAGGCCUACGCUCUGAAUACAUUAGCAUGGAAUAACACGAUAGGACUCUGGCCUAUCUUGUUGGUCUGUAGGACCGGAGUAAUGAUUAAGAGGGACAGUCGGGGGCAUUCGUAUUUCAUUGUCAGAGGUGAAAUUCUUGGAUUUAUGAAAGACGAACUACUGCGAAAGCAUUUGCCAAGGGUGUUUUCAUUAA
rnacentral:rRNA from 1 species